rnacentral:tRNA from 2 species
CGCCUCGUGGUCGGCGUACGCGCCGUGGCUCAUGUUGAGCCGGGCGACGUCCAUCCCGGCGUCGACGAGGGCUCGGAUCCCUUCGGGGGUGU